rnacentral:rRNA from 1 species
AACAAGGAUUCCCCUAGUAACGGCGAGUGAAGCGGGAAGAGCUCAAAUUUGAAAUCUGGCAGUCUUCGAUUGUCCGAGUUGUAAUCUAUAGAGGCGUUUUCCGUGCCGGACCGUGUCCAAGUCUCCUGGAAAGGAGUAUCAAAGAGGGUGAUAAUCCCGUACUUAACACGACCACCGGUGCUCUGUGAUACGUCUUCUACGAGUCGAGUUGUUUGGGAAUGCAGCUCAAAAUGGGUGGUGAAUUCCAUCUAAAGCUAAAUAUUGGCGAGAGACCGAUAGCGAACAAGUACCGUGAGGGAAAGAUGAAAAGCACUUUGGAAAGAGAGUUAAACAGUACGUGAAAUUGUUGAAAGGGAAACGAUUGAAGUCAGUCGUGUUCUUUGGAUUCAGCCAGUUCUGCUGGUCUACUUCCUUGGAACGGGUCAACAUCAGUUUUGUCCGGUGGAUAAAGGUAGUAGGAAUGUGACUUCUCCGGAAGUGUUAUAGCCUAUUAUCACAUACACUGGGUGAGACUGAGGACUGCAGCUCGCCUUUAUGGCCGGCCUUCGGGCACGUUCGAGCUUAGGAUGUUGACAUAAUGGCUUUAAACGACCCGUCUUGAAACACGGACCUCCUGU